rnacentral:rRNA from 1 species
AAGCUCGUAGUUGAAUUUCGGGGUUAGUAGGUUGGUCAUGCCUCUGGUAUGUACUGGUCUCACUGAUUCCUCCUUCCUUAUGAACCGUAAUGCCAUUAAUUUGGUGUUGCGGGGAAUUUGGACUGUUACUUUGAAAAAAUUAGAGUGUUUAAAGCAAGCUAACGCUUGAAUACAUUAGCAUGGAAUAAUGAAAUAGGACGUUCGAUCUUAUUUUGUUUGGUUUCUAGGAUUGACGUAAUGAUUAAUAGGAUAAUUGGG